rnacentral:lncRNA from 1 species
GGGCCGGCUCCAUGGCCAAGUGGUUAAGUUCGCAUACUCCACUGCGACGGCCCAGCGUUUGGAUCCUGGGCGUGGGCAUGGCACCGCUCAUCAGGCCACGUUGAGGCAGCAUCCCACAUCCCACAACUAGAAGGACCUGCAACUAAGAUAUACAACUAUGUACAGGGGGGUUUGGGGAGAUAAAGCAGGAAAAAAAAAUAGAAUUACCACAGGAUCUAGAAGUCCCACUUCUGGGUAUAAAUCCAGAAGAAUUGAAGUGAGGGUCUCAAUAGGGGUCUUGCUCUUGUGUUCACUGCAGCAUCAUUCACGACAGCCAGGAUGCAGAAACAGCUCAAAUGUCCAUCGGCCGAGGAAUGGACACAGAAAACAUCACCUGUACUCACAGCAGGAAUAUCACCAGCUUUCAAUAGCAAGGAAAUCCUGCCACGUGUGACAAUGCAGAGGCACCUCGAGGACGUGGUGCUGAGUGAAAUAAGACAGUCACAGGAGGACAACAAUCUAGGGUUCUACUCCUCUGAGGGACUUCAGGUUGUCACUGUCACAGAAGCAGAGGGUGGAAUGAUGGCAGCCAGGGGCUGGGGAGGGUGGGGUCGUCCAGCAGGCACAAAGUCUCAGUCACAUGGGACGAGUGUGUUCUAGAGACCCCCCGUACGCCAUGCUGCCCGAAGGUCACACACUGUGUUGUGCACUGAAAACUUAUCAGGAGGAGCUUGUGUGUUCUUAUCAACAGUAUUACAUAUGUGUAAUUUGAAUACCAGGGGAAAAAAAGAAGACAGAAUUAAUAUUUGAAGAAAUAAUUGCUGAGAAUUUUCCAAAAUUAGUGAUAGACACCACAGCACUGAUCCAAGAAGCUCAAAAGAUACCAACUAGGAUAAACAUCCAAGCGUGCACACACACACACACACACACACACACACAAACACACGCACGCACACCCCUGGGCAAAUCAUAUUCAAAAUGCUGAAAAUCUUGAAGGCAGCCAGACUAUAAGAACCAGGUUGCUACAGAGCAACAAGGAUAAGAAUUACAGUAGAUUUCUCAUCAGAAACCAUGUGAGUAAGAUAAGGGAGUGACGUCUCUAAAGGGUUAAAAUAACAGUCAACCCAGAAUUCUAUAUCAAGUAAAAAUAUCUUUCAAAACUAAUGGAGAAAUAAAGACUUUCCUAAACCAAUAGAAACAGAGGGAAUUUGUUUCUAGCUGACUUGCCUUAUGAGAAAUGUUUAAGGAAGUGCUUCAGGCAGAAGAAAUGUGAUAGAGUCAGAAAUUUGAACCUAGAAACAAAAGGAAGAGAGUCAGAAAUGGAAGAAAUGAAGCUGCUACCUGCAGGUGAGGCUGGCUGUCCGAGAGUGGUGUCUGUGGGCUGCGCAAAGGAGGCUCUUUUCGUUUUCCGAGACGUGGAGGCUGCGACGCUGAGGCCUGGCGCGGGCAGGUGUCCGCUGUUGCCCAGAGGAGCGGUGACGGCGGGAGGCACCUUUUCUGCAGGAGGAGGACCCACCGGCGCGAUGUCCUCCAUGUGCUGGCGGAGCGUGGUGCCCGUAGCGUGGUGUGAGCCAGUCCCUUCAGGCCAGCGGCAGAGCCAGGAUCCCCAGGGCCUAUUCUCUGUGUGGAUGGAGACAGACUGGCUGGAUCUCAGCUCCACUGCGGACGCCAGAGGCUGCGGUGACUUGCUCCAGAAGGGAGAUCGCCCUGGGACAGUGGCUGCAGUUAGAGCCCCAAAUGAUUAGGCUUGUUGUCAUUCUUUAAACCCAAACCAGACUCCACUGUCAGAACUGGAGGUCUUCAUGGGCGGCGACAGCGGCCUCCGGCCUCUCCGUCCCUAGCGCCGGGCUUUUCCUACUAUUGCCCAGAAGGAUGCACCACCUUUCACGAGCUUCUUAGUGGGAUGAGGGCCUGCAGGCGCCUUUGGUCCUUCUCUUGCUCGAGGUCCUGGAAGCCUGUGUGGCAGUUUGCUGGUCACUGAGGAUCUUCAUUCCAAUAUUUGGCUCAGUGACCGAAGGAUAAUUGCAGGAUGGAUGCAAAAUCCACAGGAGGCCUUCCCUGAGGUGAGUUUGGUUUGAAUUCCAUUGUUCAUCUGAUUCCCACACCCCCCGGCUCUGACGGGUGUGUGGCCCGCUGCUCUUCGUCCCCACGAAUCUGAUGUCAACAGCGUCUGAACGACUCAAGCCCAGUUACUGCAGUGAAAGGCCACAGCUGUCUGGGGAAGCUGGGAAGACGAUGUACGCAACUCCUUCGAGGGCAUCCCGGCAGGUCCUCGUUCAGGAAAACCCAGCUUCCUUCGCUGUCCAGACGCUGAGAAAGGUGGGCCUUGAACGAGGGCUGGGUCUGCCGCAUUUGCCUGUCUGCAGCUGCCCGGAGACAGGACGGAUCUGGCUUCUGUGCCUUUGGUGGUGGGAAUAAACCUCUGCAUCCCACAAAUACCAUGCUCAUCGGGGGCUUCCCCCGCAAGAACCAUGGUGCUGAGAAGAAAGACGGUUGGUUACUGGAAAACCAAACAAAAUAUUUCCUCCAUAUGCCCUGGAAGCACUUGGUAAACAAACAAAGAGAGAACGGAACUGCUUACACACGAAAAAUACUAUUUUCAAAAGCCAAUGGAACAUAAUGUUAAAAUAUGAAACCCAAAACCAUCGUCACUAAAAUAAGGACUACGUUGGAGAUGCCCCUUGUCACCAGUGGUGCCGGUGGCGCUGGCCAGCACAGCAGGAAGAGAAAACAGGAUAAGCCACGUACGAAGAAUGCAGUGUUCCUCAGGUGGGGCAGCCAGGUGGCAGGGGCAGAGAGAUGGGAACCACCGCCAGCCAUUGGAGUUGCCAGCCUGCCCAGGUCCAAGGGAUUUCCCAGGAUGUGGGCCUUUCAGUGUGAAACCUGGAGAAGUCCUGGGCCAACUGGGACGAGCUGGUUGCCCUCCUGGCCGUGACUGACAGGCCCUUGCUGCCUCCUCUCCCUCCGGGCAGAUGACCUCCUUUGUCCCUUUCCUCGGCAUCUCUAUGGCUGCUACUGGGUUUUCCAUAUCUGUGCGCUGGCUGCCAAUAUGUCCCCUUAUGUGUGAACUCCCGUUUACAUUAUUUGCCCGUAUUUCUACCAGUCUUUCUGUUUUUGUCUCUUUAAUUUGAAUUGAAAAUACCCUUUGGCUCGUCAAGCUCAUUAUGGCGCUUCAUCUUAAUUGGAACAUGUCAGCGUAAAGACAUUCAUAAACAAGGAUGUCUGCCUCAGGGCUGUGUGUCCUGGAAUCAGCGAGACAACACAAAACAAAAGGCCUGGAAAUAAGAUGAUUUUCCACCAAUAGGGUAAUUGUUUGCCACACGAUGAUACGACUAAACUAGGGAAUAUCAUGCAACGAUUGAAAAGUGACAUCUCCAUAUGUGACCUUAAAACCUUCCUGGUUUAGAAUGGAAGAAAGAUAUCCAUGUCUAUGUCCACACCAGCACCGAAAGCUGGGUGCGAGUUUAUACAAAAAUGUGCUAAUAUUGACAACGCGUGGACUGGCAUAGGAAGGACCUGGUGGCGGGGGGGUCUCACUUUUAACUUAUUUGCCGCCACACUGUUUGUCUGGUAACAAUGAUCACAUAUUCCUUUUACCAUUAAAGCAAUUAACAAAUUAAAGCUGAGUGGUCAGGAUGCAGAACAACACGCCUAUUGUCAUCCUUUAGUUUAAUUAAAAACAAUUUUUAGAGGAAUCAAAGUUUCUAACUUAAUAAAGUCUUAAAAAGAAAGUAAAAGAGGGGCUGGCCCCGUGGCCGAGCGGUUGGGUUCGCGCGCUCUGCUGCAGGCGGCCCAGUGUUUCGUUGGUUCGAAUCCUGGGCGCGGACACGACACUGCUCAUCAGGCCACGCUGAGGCGGCGUCCCACAUGCCACAACUAGAAGGACCCACAACAAAGAAUAUACAACUAUGUACCGGGGGGCUUUGGGGAGAAAAAGGAAAAAAUAAAAUCUUAAAAAAAAAAAAAAAAGAAAGUAAAAGAAGUGCAUUGAUAAAGAUAAAAGCAUAAAUUAAAGAAAUAGAAAACAAAGGAAAAAACAGAAAACGUAACAGAACUGAAACCUGGUGUUUGGUCUUUGAUGAAAUCUCCACAAGUCUGAUCAAGAAAGAAGAGCGGCCUUGUUCACGGGGCGGACGCCCGUGUGCCCCCGUCGGAAAACGGCCCUUUUCCAUCUGGACGAAGACAUUGUUUGCAUGUGAAGUGACAGUGGGACAAGGUAAAUGCACAAAAAACCCAAAACUCAUAGCUUCACUUGAUAUUAUCGGUGACACAUGUGGCUAAAGUAUGGAAUGACCAGAAAUAAAUUAAACAAAAAAGGUACAGAUCCACAGGCCAUAAACUAUAAAAUUGGAUUAGCUAAUUUUAUUUAACAAUAAAAUACAUGAAAGAAUGGAAAGACCCACCAUAAACCCGUCCCAGGAGAUGUGACAUCACGGAGAGCCCGUCACCCCACACCCGCAUGCACGUAAUCCCACGGUCCCCGUGAACACACCAUAGUCCACCAACCGGAGCCUGACUGCAGAGACUCCUGGCUUUUACUCCCAGUACAACACGAAGCCAUUGAGGCUUCGAAGGGGGGCGGGAUGACGGUGGUCUGUGUUUCUUGGAGACCACUGUCGCUGCUCUGUGAUGACGCGACGUCAGAGCAAGAGAAGAAUGGAAGUGAUCGGCCAAGUUACGAGAAUAAAGCUCUGAGCACGUUACAAACGAUGGUAGCUGAGACUGGGACCGGAGCGGGGCGGUCAGCCACGAUUUUGAGACAUGGACGAAUGUGAAACACUUUUCCGAGUGGCAAUGACAGGACCUGUGGAGGGCGGGCUGUGGAGUUGGAGGAGCAGCGAGUCCCCAGCGUGACUGUCGGGUUUCCCACCAGGAGAUGGCAGCACCAGCUCCUGCAUGGGGAAGCGGGUGGUCAGUCCCCAAUCACACGACAUGUGUGCUGCUAAGGCUCCUGUGAGCUGAUGGUCAAUUACAAACAUGUGCUGUCGGUGGCACAGCCACGGGCAGUGGGUUCACAUUUGAGGUUUCUUGUUUACAGAUGUCAUAUACAGGGAGGGUGGAGAGAGAGGUAAAGCGGAAAAGAAGAG